AAGAAGGAUAAGCAUCUGGCAGA
rnacentral:piRNA from 1 species